rnacentral:rRNA from 1 species
GACGAACGCUGACGGUGUGCUUUAGACAUGCAAGUCGAACGAGAAAGCCCUUAGGGGUGAGUAAAGUGGCGAACGGGUGAGUAACACGUGGGUAACCUGCCCCUCGCAGAGGGAUAACUGGGGGAAACCCCAGCUAAUACCUCGUACGCUUGCCGGGUCGCAUGGCUCGGCAAGGAAAGGUAGCUUCGGCCAUCCGGCGAGGGAUGGGCCCGCGGUCCAUUAGCUAGUUGGUGGGGUAACGGCCCACCAAGGCGACGAUGGAUAGCUGGUCUGAGAGGAUGAUCAGCCACACUGGGACUGAGACACGGCCCAGACUCCUACGGGAGGCAGCAGUCGGGAAUCUUGCGCAAUGGGCGAAAGCCUGACGCAGCAACACCGUGUGGGCGACGAAGGCCUUCGGGUCGUAAAGCCCUGUUGUUGGGGACGAAGGACGAAGGGUUAAUAGCCCCUAGUCUGACGGUACCCUUCGAGGAAGCCCCGGCUAACUACGUGCCAGCCGCCGCAGUAAUAC